AUACGGAGGGUGCAAGCGUUAAUCGGAAUCACUGGGCGUAAAGCGCGCGUAGGCGGCUUGGUAAGUCAGAUGUGAAAGCCCCGGGCUCAACCUGGGAAUUGCAUUUGAUACUGCCAAACUAGAGUGUAGUAGAGGGAAGUGGAAUUCCGAGUGUAGCGGUGAAAUGCGUAGAUAUUCGGAGGAACAUCAGUGGCGAAGGCGACUUCCUGGACUAACACUGACGCUGAGGUGCGAAAGCGUGGGUAGCAAACAGGAUUAGAUACCCUGGUAGUCCACGCCGUAAACGAUGUCUACUAGUCGUUGGGGGGCUUGUCCCCUUAGUGGCGCAGUUAACGCGUUAAGUAGACCGCCUGGGGAGUACGGCCGCAAGGCUAAAACUCAAAGGAAUUGACGGGGGCCCGCACAAGCGGUGGAGCAUGUGGUUUAAUUCGAUGCAACGCGAAGAACCUUACCUACUCUUGACAUCCUCAGAAGGAACCGGAAACGGAUCUGUGCCUUCGGGAACUGAGAGACAGGUGCU
rnacentral:rRNA from 1 species